rnacentral:rRNA from 1 species
AUUGAACGCUGGCGGCAGGCCUAACACAUGCAAGUCGAGCGGAGCGGCGGACGGGUGAGUAAUGCCUAGGAAUCUGACUGGCAGUUGGGGCUAACGUCCUGAAACGGGCGCUAAUACCUCAUCCUAUCAGAUGAGCAUAGGCCGGAUUAGCUAGUUGGUGGGGUAAAGACCUACCAAAGCGACGAUCCGUAACUGGUCUGAGAGGAUGAUCAGUCACACUGGAACUGAGACACGGUCCAGACUCCUACGGGAGGCAGCAGUGGGGAAUAUUGCACAAUGGGCGCAAGCCUGAUGCAGCCAUGCCGCGUGUAUGAAGAAGGCCUUCGGGUUGUAAAGUACUUUCAGCGGGGAGGCGUUACCCGCAGAAGAAGCACCGGCUAACUCCGUGCCAGCAGCCGCGGUAAUAC